rnacentral:tRNA from 1 species
GCAGUCGUGGUUUAGUGGUAGAAUUCUCGCCUUCCAUGCGGGACACCCGGGUUAGAAUCCCAGGCA